GGGGAAUUUUCCGCAAUGGGCGAAAGCCUGACGGAGCAAUACCGCGUGAGGGAGGAAGGCUCUUGGGUUGUAAACCUCUUUUCUUAGGGAAGAAAAAUGACGGUACCUAAGGAAUAAGCAUCGGCUAACUCCGUGCCAGCAGCCGCGGUAAUACGGAGGAUGCAAGCGUUAUCCGGAAUGAUUGGGCGUAAAGCGUCCGCAGGUGGUAAUGCAAGUCUGCUGUUAAAGAGUGAGGCUCAACCUCAUAAGAGCAGUGGAAACUACAUAGCUAGAGUACGUUCGGGGCAGAGGGAAUUCCUGGUGUAGCGGUGAAAUGCGUAGAGAUCAGGAAGAACACCGGUGGCGAAGGCGCUCUGCUAGGCCGUAACUGACACUGAGGGACGAAAGCUAGGGGAGCG
rnacentral:rRNA from 1 species